UAUAAAUUAAUUAUUUACCGUCAAAUUUGAAAUUGUACAAAUAAAAUUAGCAUGAUCCUUGUGGAAGAAUGACAUGCACAGAUAAAAAGAUGUUGAACUCUUUU